rnacentral:rRNA from 1 species
UCCUACGGGGGGCUGCAGGCGCGAAAACUUUACAAUGCAGGCAACUGUGAUAAGGGAACCCCGAGUGCCCGUAUGGACGGGCUGUUCAGGUGCUUAAAAACCACCUGGAGAAAGGGCCGGGCAAGACCGGUGCCAGCCGCCGCGGUAAUACCGGCGGCUCGAGUGGUGGCCACUAUUACUGGGCUUAAAGCGUCCGUAGCUUGGUCGUUAAGCCUCUGGGGAAAUCUUCCGGCUCAACCGGAAGGCGUCUCAGGGGAACUGGCGGCCUAGGGAUCGGGAGAGGUGAGAGGUACUCUGGGGGUAGGAGUGAAAUCCUGUAAUCCUCAGGGGACCACCUGUGGCGAAGGCGUCUCACCAGAACGACUCCGACAGUGAGGGACGAAAGCUGGGGGAGCAAACCGGAUUAGAUACCCCAGUAGUCUA